rnacentral:rRNA from 1 species
UACGGAGGGUGCGAGCGUUGUCCGGAAUCAUUGGGCGUAAAGGGCGCGUAGGUGGCCCGGUGAGUCUUUGGUGAAAGCGCGGGGCUCAACCCUGCGUCGGCCAGGGAUACUGCCGCGGCUCGAGCACUGUAGAGGCAGGCGGAAUUCCGGGUGUAGCGGUGGAAUGCGUAGAGAUCCGGAAGAACACCGGUGGCGAAGGCGGCCUGCUGGGCAGUAGCCGAAAGGCUUUCAAGCUGACACUGAGGCGCGACAGCGUGGGGAGCAAACAGG